CCGGACGGCGACCGGCGCACGGGUGAGUAACACGUAUGCGGACCUGCCCGUAGCAGGGGGAUAAGCGGAAGAAAUUCCGUCUAAUACCGCGUAAUAUCUUUCGGGGGCAUUCCUGGGGGAUUAAAGGAAGCGAUUCCGGCUACGGAUGGGCAUGCGGCGCAUUAGCUAGUCGGCGGGGUAACGGCCCACCGAGGCGACGAUGCGUAGGGGUUCUGAGAGGAAGGUCCCCCACACUGGUACUGAGACACGGACCAGACUCCUACGGAAGGCAGCAG
rnacentral:rRNA from 1 species